GACGAACGCUGGCGGCGUGCUUAACACAUGCAAGUCGAGCGGUAAGGCCCUUUCGGGGGUACACGAGCGGCGAACGGGUGAGUAACACGUGGGUGACCUGCCCUCAGCUCUGGGAUUAAGCCUGGGAAACCGGGUCUAAUACCGGAUAUGACUCCAUGACGCAUGUUGUGGGGUGGAAAGCCUUGUGCGGCUGAGGAUGGGCCCGCGGCCUAUCAGCUUGUUGGUGGGGUGAUGGCCUACCAAGGCGACGACGGGUAGCCGGCCUGAGAGGGCGACCGGCCACACUGGGGACUGAGACACGGCCCAGACUCCUACGGGAGGCAGCAGGUGGGGAAUCUUGCGCAAUGGGCGAAAGCCUGACGCAAGCGACGCCGCGUGAGGGAUGACGGCCU
rnacentral:rRNA from 1 species